ACUCUCUUUGGAGCCUCAGUUUUCAAAUCUCCAAAGAAGGUAAUGUUCUUGUUACUCACCUUAAAUGUGUCGCCUGGAACCCGGGUCCAGGGAACAGACUGAUGGAUUUGUACAUACUUAAUCCCUUAUGCAAACAGUGGGUGCUGUCCCUUCUCCUAAACAUUCCCACUGUGAACGCAGCCUAGAAGUGCGCUGUUUCCUGAAGAUACAGGAUGUGGGGAAACCUACCACUGGUGGUAGUGUAAAUAAGAACUGCGCCAAGCCCUGAACCGAUGUCAUCGCAUGCCAACUCUGAGAUCGACUGCAACCUAACAGGCUGCGAUGAGGCGCGGGAUAACUGACAGGGAUGCUCCAAGGCAAAAUCAAAGCACUGCACAGGUGGGAAGAUGUCCUACCUCGUCCUGAGACCUUGCCCUAGCUCCCUCCCUCCCCGGCCCCAACCAGGCGGCGUCCCUAGCUUUCCGGUCCCCUAAUACCCGCUCCGCGACCAACCUGCAGGCAGGCUCCGCCCAGGACUGUGGCCGGGAACCGCCGCCUCAAGGAGACCCCGGCCACCGCCGCCAUCUUGGCUACUGACGUCAGGCCCAGCCCUUAACUCUGAGGUCGCUCUAGGCCCACUUCCCGGCGAACACCGCGGCGCCGAGCCAGAUGCCCCGCCGGAGGACCCGCUAUUCACAUAGGACCAUAGAGUGGGAGGUGGCUUCCGGUUGGGCGGGCGGGCGGAGAGAAGGCGGAGCUAGUCAAACCGAGCGUGCGCAAUGCGUGCCGAUAUGGCGCUUGCCUGUUUGGCCUCCUGGUUUUUUUUGUGCUUUUUGAGACAGGGUCUCGCCGUGCAGUUUGGGCUGGCCUUGAGCUCACUUUGUAGCCCAGGCUGAUCUCGAACUCGCAGUGAUCUUCCUGCUUUAGCCUCCCGAGUAUUGGGAUUACAGGCAUGCGCCACCACGCCCAGCUCUAACCUUCUGAAUUCUUAAGGUGACCUUCAGGGACCGAGGGCGUGUCACUGGGCGGGACGGCCUGAAGGGGUGGAGCUAAAGGCGGAGCGGGGCGGAGCCAUCAAUUUGAAUUUCCAUAGUGAGUUUGAACCGCCUUCUCCCCUGGACUUCGCCAGGUUUGUCACAUGUCUGACUCAUUUCUGUUCAGAUUUUAGCCUCAGUUGUGGGCAAAUUGGGAUAGCUGGUGAAUAAAAUGAUUACAGAAAUGACAGGCAAAA